UACGAAGGGGGCUAGCGUUGCUCGGAAUUACUGGGCGUAAAGGGCGCGUAGGCGGAUAGUUUAGUCAGAGGUGAAAGCCCAGGGCUCAACCUUGGAAUUGCCUUUGAGACUGCAUCGCUUGAAUCCAGGAGAGGUGAGUGGAAUUCCGAGUGUAGAGGUGAAAUUCGUAGAUAUUCGGAAGAACACCAGUGGCGAAGGCGGCUCACUGGCCCGGUACUGACGCUGAGGUGCGAAAGCGUGGGGAGCAAACAGG
rnacentral:rRNA from 1 species